rnacentral:rRNA from 1 species
CACACCGCCCGUCACACCAUGGAAGCUGGCCAUGCCCGAAGUCGUUACUCCAACCUCUCGAGGAGGAGGACGCCGAAGGUGGGGCUGGUGACUGGGGUGAAGUCGUAACAAGGUAGCCGUACCGGAAGGUGUGGCUGGAUCACCUCCUUU